UGGAGCGAGUCUUCAUUUCUAUCUCACAAAAGUGCUGUCCAAAUAGAGUAGGCUCUGUACUUUCUGGGAAUUAUAGGAGUGCACAUGGUCUUCUGUUGACAUCAUCUGAGGAUGAAACAAGUGUUCAUGGCGCAAUUGAUAUGAGCCCAACAGCUUAUCAAUCCAAGGGAAUUAAUCAGUGGGAAACACUUGAACAUUAUCUUGUAUGUGGCUACUUCAUUGCUUCCUCAAAUUUGAUCUUUACAAGUAUUUGGUUAUGGAAAUGGCUGUAGUGAGGGCUGGCUGUUGACAUUUCUUUUUAAUUCAAGAAUGUGAAUUUCUGUUA